rnacentral:rRNA from 1 species
UACAGAGGGUGCGAGCGUUAAUCGGAAUUACUGGGCGUAAAGGGUGCGUAGGUGGUUUUGUAAGUUAGAUGUGAAAUUCCUGGGCUUAACCUGGGGACUGCGUCUGAUACUGCGAAGCUAGAGUCCUGUAGAGGGAAGUGGAAUUUCCGGUGUAGCAGUGAAAUGCGUAGAUAUCGGAAGGAACAUCAGUGGCGAAGGCGACUUCCUGGACAGAGACUGACACUGAGGCACGAAAGCGUGGGGAGCAAACAGG